rnacentral:rRNA from 1 species
CACAAAAUGGGCGAAAGCCUGAUGCAGCGACGCCGCGUGAGGGAUGAAGGCCUUCGGGUUGUAAACCUCUUUCAGCAGGGAAGAAGCGCAAGUGACGGUACCUGCAGAAGAAGCGCCGGCUAACUACGUG